UACGUAGGGUCCAAGCGUUGUCCGGAAUUAUUGGGCGUAAAGAGCUCGUAGGCGGCGCGUCGCGUCGGAUGUGAAAGCCCGGGGCUUAACUCCGGGUCUGCAUUCGGUACGGGCGUGCUGGAGUUCGGUAGGGGAGACUGGAAUUCCUGGUGUAGCGGUGAAAUGCGCAGAUAUCAGGAGGAACACCAAUUGCGAAGGCAGCUCGCUGGGACGUUACUGACGCUGAGACGCGAAAGCGUGGGGAGCAAACAGG
rnacentral:rRNA from 1 species